rnacentral:rRNA from 1 species
UACAGAGGUCUCAAGCGUUGUUCGGAUUCAUUGGGCGUAAAGGGUGCGUAGGUGGCGGGGCAAGUCUGGUGUGAAAUCCCGGGGCUCAACCCCGGAACUGCACUGGAUACUGCCUUGCUAGAGCACUGGAGAGGGAACUGGAAUUUACGGUGUAGCAGUGAAAUGCGUAGAUAUCGUAAGGAAGACCAGUGGCGAAGGCGAGUUCCUGGACAGUUGCUGACACUGAGGAGCGAAAGCGUGGGGAGCGAACAGG